rnacentral:rRNA from 1 species
GACGAACGCUGGCGGCGUGCUUAACACAUGCAAGUCGAACGGAAAGGCCCUGCGUUUGUGGGGUGCUCGAGUGGCGAACGGGUGAGUAACACGUGAGUAACCUGCCCUUGACUUUGGGAUAACUUCAGGAAACUGGGGCGAAUACCGGAUAGGAGCUCCUGCUGCAUGGUGGGGGUUGGAGAGUUUCGGCGGUUUGGGAUGGACUCGCGGCUUAUCAGCUUGUUGGUGGGGUAGUGGCUUACCAAGGCUUUGACGGGUAGCCGGCCUGAGAGGGUGACCGGCCACCUUGGGCCUGAGAUACGGCCCAGAAUCCUACGGGAGGCAGCAGUGGGGAAUAUUGCACAAUGGGCGGAAGCCUGAUGCAGCAACGCCGCGUGCGGGAUGACGGCCUUCGGGUUGUAAACCGCUUUCGCCUGUGACGAAGCGUGAGUGACGGUAAUGGGUAAAGAAGCACCGGCUAACUACGUG